rnacentral:rRNA from 1 species
UGGGGGAUAACGUAGCGAAAGUUACGCUAAUACCGCAUAUUCUGUGAGCAGGAAAGAGGGGGAUCGCAAGACCUCUUGCUUUAGGAGCGGCCGAUGUCGGAUUAGCUAGUUGGUGAGGUAAAGGCUCACCAAGGCGACGAUCCGUAGCGAGUCUGAGAGGAUGAUCCGCCACACUGGGACUGAGACCCGGCCCAGACUCCUACGGGAGGCAGCAGUGGGGAAUUUUGGACAAUGGGCGCAAGCCUGAUCCAGCCAUGCCGCGUGAGUGAAGAAGGCCUUCGGGUUGUAAAGCUCUUUCGGUGGGGAAGAAAUUGCUUCGGUUAAUACCUGGAGUAGAUGACGGUACCCGCAUAAGAAGCACCGGCUAACUACGUG